GACGAACGCUGGCGGCGUGCCUAAUACAUGCAAGUCGAACGCUUCUUUCCUCCCGAGUGCUUGCACUCAAUUGGAAAGAGGAGUGGCGGACGGGUGAGUAACACGUGGGUAACCUACCCAUCAGAGGGGGAUGACACUUGGAAACAGGUGCUAAUACCGCAUAACAGUUUAUGCCGCAUGGCAUAAGAGUGAAAGGCGCUUUCGGGUGUCGCUGAUGGAUGGACCCGCGGUGCAUUAGCUAGUUGGUGAGGUAACGGCUCACCAAGGCGACGAUGCAUAGCCGACCUGAGAGGGUGAUCGGCCACACUGGGACUGAGACACGGCCCAGACUCCUACGGGAGGCAGCAGUAGGGAAUCUUCGGCAAUGGACGAAAGUCUGACCGAGCAACGCCGCGUGAGUGAAGAAGGUUUUCGGAUCGUAAAACUCUGUUGUUAGAGAAGAACAAGGACGUUAGUAACUGAACGUCCCCUGACGGUAUCUAAACAGAAAGCCACAGCUAACUACGUG
rnacentral:rRNA from 1 species